CGCGAAGGGAACCACUUCCGGCUUUCCCACUUCCGGUCCGGCGGGAGCAGCGGCCGGACCGGAGCCCCCCCGGAUCCCUCCCCUUCCGUGAGGGGCGAUGGUGGUGCCCGCGCUGGAGCCCCCCGCGCCCCCCGCCAUGGUGGCCGAUGUCGUGUUCGUCAUCGAGGGCACCGCCAACCUCGGGCCUUACUUCGAGGCACUGCGCAAGCAUUACCUGCUGCCCGCCAUCGAGUAUUUCAAUGGGGGCCCCCCCGACGAGACCGACUUCGGGGGAGACGUGAGUGCCCGUGGGG